UUUUUGGAGGUAAAUUGAGGGCGACGAGGAGGCCGUGGCUGGCACAAGGGGCGCAAGAAGGGAGACAAGGCCGGGCCUGCCGCCCAGUCUGAGGUGCAGGAGGAAGGGGAGCAAGCCGGGGCCCGCGCUGAGGAGUCCCAGAGGUGGCAGAACUUGACCUGGGCCUUGAAGGGAAAGGAUUUGGGGAAAGGCGACACGGGGCAUUCCAGAGGAGAGAAACAUAUGCCAGAGGGCUCCAGGAGUGGUCAUUGUUGUUCAUUUGGUGAACAAUCAGAAAUGAAAUAGGGAAUAUAUCAUUUGCCAAUGAAUUUGUGUUGCCUCAAAAAUUUCUGCUAGAAUUCAAGACAAUAUUUAUCAACUCAAUAAGUGUAUAGGCAUUGCCUAAGUAAUUGAUAGAAAUCUUAUGUGGGAUAGGAUUUAUUCUGCCCAUACUGCUGAACCAAUGAAGAGAAAAUGGGAAGCAAAACUAAAGCAAAUUGAAGAACGAGCAUCUUAUUAUGAGAGGAAACCGUUGUCCUCACUUUAUAAACCAAGAUUGUCCAAGCCAGAAGAACCACCCUCCGUUUGGAAACUAUUUCAUCGACAAACUCAAGCUUUUAAUUUUGUUAAAAGCUGUAAAGAGGCCAUGUACACUACCAAGACAAUUCAUUGGCAGUCUAAAUAUCACAUGAUUUAGGAAAAACAUCCCUAUGAAUUAUUAACCAUUUAG